rnacentral:rRNA from 1 species
AACGAACGCUGGCGGCAUGCCUAACACAUGCAAGUCGAACGAGACCUUCGGGUCUAGUCGCGCACGGGUGCGUAACGCGUGGGAACCUGCCCUUAGGUUCGGAAUAACUCCCCGAAAGGGGUGCUAAUACCGGCUAAUGUCUUCGGACCAAAGAUUUAUCCCCUUUGGAUGGGCCCGCGUUGGAUUAGCUAGUUGUUAGGGUAAAAGCCUACCAAGGCGACGAUCCAUAGCUGGUCUGAGAGGAUGCUCAGCCACACUGGGCCUGAGACACGGCCCAGACUCCUACGGGAAGCAGCAGUGGGGACUAUUGGACACUGGGCGAAAGCCUGAUCCAGCAAUGCCGCGUGAGUGAUGAAGGCCUUAGGGUUGUAAAGCUCUUUUACCCGGGAUGAUAAUGACAGUCCCGGGAGAAUAAGCUCCGGCUACCUCCGUG